ACACCCAGAGAGCUUGGGCCUACUGCAAAUGUGGCAGAGCUGCUGCGGCCAUAAUUAACGCCCCGCAUCGCCAUCAUCUUGUCCACUUGGGCAGGCCUUUCGGGGCCUGUUUCUUCUUCCGUGCUGGGCCCCUUCCAGUUCUAAGUCUACUGCGGGGACGGCCUAGCUUAGGCGCCUUCCACGGGGUUUGAAGUGCAUGCAUUGACUAUUCACAGCCUGACCUCACUGAUGACUGGCAUGGAAGCUUUGAAAAUGGCCCCCUGUUCCUGAAGGCUCACCAUAUUGGUACUACAUGUAAUGUAUACACUUGAUCAAUCAGCUUUAGUAGUACUGCAGCUCACAACACCCAAAUGUAUGUGGUCCACCAACCUCAGCUUCCCCAGGAGGAGGGACUAUACCACUGUACCACCAGGCCUGGCUUAAUUCAUUUAAAAAAAAAAUAUCUAUCCAAUUAGCUGAUCUGCUUCAUUCACUCUUGCUAAAUGUUUGCUGGCUUGAGUCACUGGCAACUUAAACAAAUAACAAAUAAUCUCCCACACAUGGACAACUUCCAAAUUUACAUCUCUAGCUCUGACCUCUCUGGGAGACUUUUCUUCUCAGUAUCCCUAAAUUGAGAGGCAGUGUAGAUGUAUAGAGCCAGCCUCAGAGUCAGGAAGUCUUGAAUUCCCAUCUCUGACACAUACUGGCUGUAUGAUCUUGGGCUAAUCACAACUUCCCAGGGCUCCUUUACACUAACAAAAUCAAAGGUCCAGUCUCCCCACACUUCCCCCCCCCCCCGCCAAAUACACACAAAAAAUCCUCAACUUCUCUCAAACUCAGUGUAGUAUGGAGUCAUGGAUUAGAGUCAAUGGAUCUGAUACUUACUGGCCACGUGAUCUGAUAAGCCCUAAACUCUACAGACCAGUCACCUUUUAUGUAAAAUGACAAUCUCUGAAUAGUUAUGAAAAAUUGUUUUAAACUAAAGUUCUUCAAAAAUGCAAGCUAUUAUUUCUCUUCAAGCCAGCCUUCCCUCCUGAUUUAUUCAUUUCUUUCAAUGGCACCAUCAUUCUCUUAGUCACUUAGACUUAAAAUACUUUCAUUACCUCAUGCCUAAGGUAUUAAAACAACCUCUGAAUCAA